rnacentral:rRNA from 1 species
AGGACGAACGCUGGCGGCGCGCCUAACACAUGCAAGUCGAGCGAGAACCAUUCCUUCGGGAAUGGGGACAGCGGCGAACGGGUGAGUAACACGUGGGUAAUCUACCCUCGGUUCUGGGAUAGCCCGGGGAAACCCGGAUUAAUACCGGAUAGCCUCUUGAGCCUUCGGGUUCUUGAGAAAAGGUAGCUUCGGCCUCCGACUGAGGAUGAGCCCGCGGCGGAUUAGCUUGUGGCGGGUAACGCCCACAAGGCUUCGAUCCGUAGCUGGUCUGAGAGGACGAUCAGCCACACUGGGACUGAGACACGGCCCAGACCUCCGUACGGGAGCAGCAGGUGGGAAUCGUGCGCAAGUGGGACGAAACGCCGUAGACGCGAGCGACGCCGCGUGGACGGAAGAGGUCCGUUCGGGUUCGUUAAACCGGUUUCGGACGGGGGAACGAACGACCGUACGUACGGUUAAGUACG